GACGAACGCUGGCGGCGUGCUUAACACAUGCAAGUCGAACGAUGAUGCUGGAGCUUGCUCCAGUUGAUUAGUGGCGAACGGGUGAGUAACACGUGAGCAAUCUGCCCUUGACUCUGGGAUAACUGCGGGAAACUGUAGCUAAUACCGGAUACUUUCACCGGAAGGCAUCUUCUGGUGAUGAAAGAAUUUCGGUCAGGGAUGAGCUCGCGGCCUAUCAGCUUGUUGGUGAGGUAACGGCUCACCAAGGCUACGACGGGUAACCGGCCUGAGAGGGUGACCGGUCACACUGGGACUGAGACACGGCCCAGACUCCUACGGGAGGCAGCAGUGGGGAAUAUUGCACAAUGGGCGCAAGCCUGAUGCAGCAACGCCGCGUGAGGGAUGAAGGCCUUCGGGUUGUAAACCUCUUUUAGCAGGGAAGAAGCGAAAGUGGCGGUACCUGCAGAAAAAGCACCGGCUAACUACGUGCCAGCCGCCGCAGUAA
rnacentral:rRNA from 1 species